rnacentral:rRNA from 1 species
GACAGAGGUGCCGAGCGUUAGGCGGAAUCACUGGGCUUAAAGCGUGUGUAGGCGGGCCGUUAAGUGCCCCGUGAAAUCCCCCGGCUCAACCGGGGAACGGCGGGGCAUACUGGCGGCCUUGAGCCACUUAAGGGCAGACGGAACAAGCGGUGGAGCGGUGAAAUGCGUAGAUAUCGCUUGGAACGCCAACGGUGAAAACAGGUUGCUGGGGGUGUGCUGACGCUGAGACACGAAAGCCAGGGGAGCGAACGGG